CGGUGACGGUGACGGUGACGGUGACAACCGGCCAGCCCCGGGCGGGGACAUCCGGCUGCAGCUCUGGUGGUGGGGACCCCGCGGGGACAGCGGGAACGGCGAUUGUCACCUCACCGGGGACAGUGAUUGUCACCUCACCGGGGACACCGGGAACGGCGAUUGUCACCUCACCGGGGACACCGAUUGUCACCUCCCCGGGGAUGGCAAUUGUCACCUCACCGGGGACGGCGAUUGUCACUGCCUUGGGGACACCGGGAAUGGCGAUUGUCACCUCACCGGGGACACCGGGAAUGGCGAUUGUCACCUCACCGGGGACGGUGAUUGUCACCUCACCGGGGACAGCGAUUGUCACCUCACCGGGGACAGCGGGAAUGGCGAUUGUCACCUCACCGGGGACGGUGAUUGUCACCUCACCGGGGACACCAGGAAUGGCGAUUGUCACCUCACCGGGGACACCAAUUGUCACCUCACCGGGGACACCGGGACCGGUGAUUGUCACCUCCCAAGGGACACCCGGGAAUGGCAGUUGUCACCUCCCCGGGGACACCGACUGUCACCGCCUUGGUGACACCAGGACUGGUGAUUGUCACCUCCCCAGGGACACCGAUUGUCACCUCACCGGGGACAGCGGGAACAGCGAUUGUCACCUCACCGGGGACACUGAUUGUCACCUCACCGGGACUGGUGAUUGUCACCUCCUUGGGGACACCGAUUGUCACCUCCCUGAGGACACCGAUUGUCACUGCCUUGGUGACCCCAGGACCGGCGAUCGUCACCACCCCCGGGACACCGAGUGUCACCCCUGGACACCCCAAACGUCACCCUGGGGGUGUCACAGCCCCCCAAAUGUCACCCCCACUCCGCU
rnacentral:lncRNA from 1 species